rnacentral:lncRNA from 1 species
GAAUAACUAAUUGUUCAUAUUAAUUAAGGUUAAUCAUCUUACUUUCACAUUCUUGUUGGGAGAAUUAAAAGAAGAAUUGACUAUAAGUUGUGAGACGUGAUACGAAAAAAGUGUCAAGGAAGAGGGUACUCUUUAUUGAUACCGACACUCUUAACGACUCCGUAGCCGUUAAGUAUUAUGUUUCCUGAUACUUUUUAGUCGUCACUAAACACUGUUUUUCUUGUAGCUAUGAUUCUACAUUGCUUCUUGUUGAUAUUACAUAUUCUGCUCCUCAAAGCUUAUUAUACAUAGCUGAAGUCUAAACUCACAC